CGAGAUGGUAGUGGAACCGGCGAUGACGCCAAUGGUGGGGGAAAUAGCGAUUAAAUAAGGAGUUUCUCUCCUUCCAUGGGAAGUUGCGCCACCUUCCCUAAGAAGCUAGGCAACCGGCACAUCUUGAAGAUGGAAACUAACUCCUCGAAGGAUUUGUUUUUUGGCUACCAGUGGUGUUCACGAAUAAGCUUCUUAGCUGCCAAAUUUGAUCUGCCUCAUCCAUAACUUCCCCCUUCUCUGCCUAUUACGAGUCCUCCACUGUU
rnacentral:lncRNA from 1 species